UCACACACACUCACACACACACACUUUUGCCCUGCAGCCAUCCUUCACAAUGUGUGUCAAUUAAACAUAUAUGUGCACAUGGGAAGGGGGGCACCUGUUUGGUGUGCAUGUGUGUGUGUGAGUGUGUGUGA